rnacentral:misc_RNA from 1 species
GGCGAAUGCAUAAUGAAGCACAAUGUAGCAUGCCACGAACCUCCUGCUCCAAGCAGCAGUUCACUAGACAUGGGUCGAUGAGUUCAGAGAUGGCACUCUUUCGAAGCAGAGGACGUGCCCAUUCACUGAGGGACUGCUGGCCCUUUGGGCGGUUAAUGUCUAUAGCUUUUCUUCCAGUGACAAGUUCCAAUAGUACUAUACCAAAUGAGUAUGCAUCAGCUUUUUCAGUUAUUUGACCACUUUGAGCAUAUUCCGGUGCCAAGUACCCAAACGUUCCAAUUACUCUGGUAUCAACUCCUAAGUUUCCUUCAGGUUGCCACCUUGCCAGCCCAAAGUCUCCAACCAAUGGCUCAAAAU